rnacentral:tRNA from 1 species
GGGUAGAUGGCGGAGCGGUCAAUCGCAGCAGACUGUAAAUCUGCCGGCUUUAUGCCUACGGGGGUUCGAAUCCCUCUCUGCCCACCA